rnacentral:rRNA from 1 species
CCUACGGGGGGCAGCAGUGAGGAAUAUUGGUCAAUGGACGCGAGUCUGAACCAGCCAAGUAGCGUGAAGGAUGACGGCCCUAUGGGUGGUAAACUGCGUUUAUAAAGGGAUAAAAUGAGGCACGUGUGCCUUUUUGCAUGUACCUUAUGAAUAAGGAUCGGCUAACUCCGUGCCAGCAGCCGCGGUAAUACGGAGGAUCCGAGCGUUAUCCGGCUUUAUUGGGUUUAAAGGGAGCGUAGGUGGGUUGUUAAGUCAGUUGUGAAAGUUUGCGGCUCAACCGUGAAAUUGCAAUUGAUACUGGCAGUCUUGAGUGCAGUUGAGGUAGGCGGAAUUCGUGGUGUAGCGGUGAAAUGCUUAGAUAUCACGAAGAACCCCGAUUGCGAAGGCAGCUUACUAUACUGUAACUGACAUUGAUGCUCGAAAGUGUGGGUAUCAAACAGGAUUAGAUACCCCAGUAGUC